CUAGGAAAAAGUAUACAAUAUACAUAGAUAUAACAAAGACUAAGUGGAAUGGGUGGAAUACGUGUUUGAGAUGAGCGAAGACAAUGAUAGAAGACGCCUAUACAGAGAAGAUACUUAUGCUGUCCUAAAAGUAUGGCGGGGAUUGAGUUUGCCCAGGACAUCAUCAGGUGCGACAUCUGUCCUGCUUACGUGGAGAGAGGAGCAGCGGAAAUUUUCUGUAAAAGCUGCAAGAAACACCUGUGUCAGUCCUGUGUUUCCAGACACGUGUUGUCCUCACCCGUCGAUCACACAGUUGUGCAAUAUCUUACUCACAGAAGAGUUAGAACUGAUUUUUCCAACAGUAAUUCAAACAUUAGAGAGUGGGUUUGUACCUUUGUUUAGAGUAGUAAAGUCACGUGAUGGUAGCAUAUGGACCUUGGGGGAUAUGAAUACAGUGAAGCAAUUGGACAUGAACUGAGUAGUCAUGGAAACAUAUAGCAGUGGAUCCAUUCAUUCGCCAUGUCAAAUCGCACUGAACAAAGGAGGGGAACUCUUCUUUACUGUAACGACGGCCAGAGUUUUAAAUGUAAUUAAGAAUAAAAAGAUCAAGACAAUUUUCACAUAUAUUGGGUGGAUACAUCGAGGUCUCUGUGUCACUGCUAAUGACGAUGUACUAGUUUCUAUGUUCAAGCACGGUGAACCAGACAAGGUUGUUCGAUAUUCCGGAGUAACUGUUAUUCAAAGAAUCUCACGAGAUUCUCAGGGAAACUUCCUCUUUCGGGAUGCCUCUUUUGUUUGCGAAAAUGCAAAUACAGACAUUUGCGUUAGCGAUGCAGAAACACGCUGCGUUGUUGUCGUCAAAAGCACAGGGGUCCCUCGACAUAAAUACAGCGGGCGCUCCCACUCAGAGUUUGUGCCUGGUUGUGUUGCAUGUGAUAGCCAAAGUCACAUUCUUAUUGUAGACAAAAUUCAGUACUGUAUACAUAUAAUAGACAAAGACUGAAAAUUCUUAUCGCUCAUCGACAAGCAUUUUAUUAAGUUUCCCGUAGGAAUAAACGUGAGCGAAUAUGACACAUUGUAUGUGGCUGAGCGGAAGUCUGGGAAAAUCAAAGUCAUAAAAUACCUGAGCGAUUAAAUAGACAUUGUAAUUCCUCAAUGUUAAAGGGAUGUGAAAACAGUUUGAAUUUUUAAAAAAUAUUCUUUGAUAUUUGGAUUUAAUUGUACUUCACUAGAAACAAAAUAUUUAUUUUAAACAAAAUAUCUGUACAGUUUUAAGAGGUAUUCUUUGUAA